rnacentral:rRNA from 1 species
CACAUGCAAGUCGAACGAUGAAGCCCAGCUUGCUGGGUGGAUUAGUGGCGAACGGGUGAGUAACACGUGAGUAACCUGCCCCCGACUCUGGGAUAAGCCCGGGAAACUGGGUCUAAUACCGGAUAUUACCUUUGACCGCAUGGUUGUUGGUGGAAAGAUUUAUCGGUGGGGGAUGGACUCGCGGCCUAUCAGCUUGUUGGUGAGGUAAUGGCUCACCAAGGCGACGACGGGUAGCCGGCCUGAGAGGGUGACCGGCCACACUGGGACUGAGACACGGCCCAGACUCCUACGGGAGGCAGCAGUGGGGAAUAUUGCACAAUGGGCGAAAGCCUGAUGCAGCGACGCCGCGUGAGGGAUGACGGCCUUCGGGUUGUAAACCUCUUUCAGUAGGGAAGAAGCGAAAGUGACGGUACCUGCAGAAGAAGCGCCGGCUAACUACGUGCCAGCAGCCGCGGUAAUACGUAGGGCGCAAGCGUUAUCCGGAUUUAUUGGGCGUAAAGAGCUCGUAGGCGGUUUGUCGCGUCUGCCGUGAAAGUCCGAGGCUCAACCUCGGAUCUGCGGUGGGUACGGGCAGACUAGAGUGAUGUAGGGGAGACUGGAAUUCCUGGUGUAGCGGUGAAAUGCGCAGAUAUCAGGAGGAACACCGAUGGCGAAGGCAGGUCUCUGGGCAUUUACUGACGCUGAGGAGCGAAAGCAUGGGGAGCGAACAGGAUUAGAUACCCUGGUAGUCCAUGCCGUAAACGUUGGGCACUAGGUGUGGGGGACAUUCCACGUUUUCCGCGCCGUAGCUAACGCAUUAAGUGCCCCGCCUGGGGAGUACGGCCGCAAGGCUAAAACUCAAAGGAAUUGACGGGGGCCCGCACAAGCGGCGGAGCAUGCGGAUUAAUUCGAUGCAACGCGAAGAACCUUACCAAGGCUUGACAUGUGCCAGACCGCCUCAGAGAUGGGGUUUCCCUUCGGGGCUGGUUCACAGGUGGUGCAUGGUUGUCGUCAGCUCGUGUCGUGAGAUGUUGGGUUAAGUCCCGCAACGAGCGCAACCCUCGUUCCAUGUUGCCAGCACGUAAAGGUGGGGACUCAUGGGAGACUGCCGGGGUCAACUCGGAGGAAGGUGGGGAUGACGUCAAAUCAUCAUGCCCCUUAUGUCUUGGGCUUCACGCAUGCUACAAUGGCCGGUACAAUGGGUUGCGAUACUGUGAGGUGGAGCUAAUCCCUAAAAGCCGGUCUCAGUUCGGAUUGGGGUCUGCAACUCGACCCCAUGAAGUCGGAGUC